rnacentral:rRNA from 1 species
UUAGGAAUUUUGGGCAAUGGGCGAAAGCCUGACCCAGCAACGCCGCGUGGGUGACGAAGGCCUUCGGGUCGUAAAGCCCUUUUCCACGGGAAGAUAAUGACGGUACCGUGGGAAUAAGCCCCGGCUAACUACGUGCCAGCAGCCGCGGUAAUACGUAGGGGGCGAGCGUUGUCCGGAUUUACUGGGGCGUAAAACGCUUGUAGGUGGCCACGCCAAGUCGGACGUGAAAUCUCCCGGCUUAACUGGGAGGGGUCGUUCGAUACUGGCGGGCUCGAGGCAGGUAGGGGGAAGCGGAAUUCCCGGUGUAGUGGUGGAAUGCGUAGAUAUCGGGAGGAACACCAGUGGCGAAGGCGGCUUCCUGGACCUGUUCUGACACUGAGGAUCGAAAGCGUGGGGAGCGAUCCGGAUUAGAUACCCGGGUAGUCCACGCCGUAAACGGUGGGCACUAGGUGUCGGGGGUAUCGACCCUCCGGUGCCGCAGCUAACGCACUAAGUGCCCUGCCUGGGG